UCCCUACGGGGCGCAGCAGUGGGGAAUAUUGGGCAAUGGGCGCAAGCCUGACCCAGCAACGCCGCGUGAAGGAAGAAGGCCCUCGGGUUGUAAACUUCUUUUCAGAGGGACGAAACAAAUGACGGUACCUCUUGAAUAAGCCACGGCUAACUACGUGCCAGCAGCCGCGGUAAUACGUAGGUGGCAAGCGUUAUCCGGAUUUACUGGGUGUAAAGGGCGUGUAGGCGGGUCUGCAAGUCAGAUGUGAAAUUCCAGGGCGCAAC
rnacentral:rRNA from 1 species